AUCGCAUCUGUUAGAAACUUAGCAGUUUAAUAAUUUACAUAUCUAUUGUCAAUCAUUUCACAACAAAUUUUAAGUUUAGUUUUCUCCAGUUUGAUCUGCACUUGUAAGGCCUCUGUGAAUGUUUUUUUAAAAGUUCACAUUUUUCUAUACUACGCCAAUAUUAUACUUCAAUUAAAAAAAAAUGUGAACAAGUCUAAGCAUAUUUGCAAGAAUGUUUUAAACAUGCAAUGAAUACUUUAUCUAAUCAUGUGUUUAGUCAGCAUUAAAGAGUUACUUCAACCAAAAAACAGUUUUAAUAAACACAUAGAGAAACAUACUGGCAUGGUUUGCCUCGCCUCCCCAAAAAGAUGAAUACAGGGACACUAUAGUUGCCAGAAUAACAAGCUUAAUGUAGUGGUUCUGGUGUCUACAGCCCCUCCCUGCAGGUUUUUUUUUUGUUAUAUAUAAACACUACAUGUAAUUUUCAUUAGUGACUAGGAAAUCCUCUAGUGGUAGUCAUUCCGACAGCCACUAAUGGUGCUUCUUGUGUCAGUGCUGCGAGCCUCCACGAUCUGCAUGUAGGCGCUGAACAUGCACCACAGAGAUGCAUUGAUUGAAGUGUUGCCGAUUGGCGCAGUGCAGCAUUUUGACGUGCAUGCACAAUGGCCUCCAAAUGCUUUGCUACGGGAAAGCAUUGCAUUGGCAGAAAUUACGUUUCAUGACCAGGACAGCAUGGGAGAAAAGGGGAGUUUGAAAACCUUUUCACUGUUCUGACAGAGGGGCCUGGGACCUAAAUAGUGGGUGUAACAUUAUAGUGUCAGAAAUACAUGUUUGUGUUCCUUUAAGAAGAAAAAAAAUAACAAAAGAAAACCUUACUUGCAAUCCCACACCGAGGCUAAGCUCUCCCUGUGGCCUGAUUCUCCUGCAGCUCCAACUCACUGCAGGGGAAGGACUUUCUGGAUGAUGUGUUGGUGGGGGCAUGUUUCCAUUGGUUUUCUGUUACUAGCAUGCUAUGAGUGCCAACAAAGGAUGCCAAAUAUGUACAGAUUAAAUAUGAGCCAGCCUGGAGCUCUUACACUUGGUUGGCUAAUGAUAUUGCUGAAUAUAAAGUGUAUACACUGUACCAUGACCACUAUAAAUCAAACUCCAAGCACCACUUUUAAUAAAUAAACAAAACAAAUGUUGGUUGCAAGAGUAUUCACCUCCCAAGUCAGCACUUGAUAUUGCUACCUUUGGAUCUUUUAGGCUAAAGAGAGUCACUGGUUGCCACUGUUUCCCAGCUGGCUUAAAAUCUAGGCUUUGGCUUCUCUUUUUUCACAUUGCUAAGGCAUUUAGGUUUUUCCCUGUAAACCUGUCUAAUAUAUCUUUAAAAUUAUGUCAUUAUCCUAAUAGGAGGAACUGCGCCCAAUAUUUAAAUGUCUUACUCUUGCACUAAUUGGCUCCAUCCAUUUAUUCUGACUCCUGACCAUUUCACAUUCCCUGUCCAGGAACAUCAUCCCCACAACACAAUGCGACCACCACUAUGCUUCACCAUGGUGUUUUGUGCCAAGGACAAAAUAAAUAAAUAAAAUUGUCGUCUAAGCAGAUCGUAGAACCAUUACCACAUGAUCACUGUGACACCCACAUGAUUUUUGGGUAACCGCAAACAGGAUUUGGUAUUUCUUUCAGCAGUAGCUUUCUAUUCACCACAUGUCCGUGAAGUCCAGCUUUGUGGGCUUCUGUGUACGGUCUCCUCUUUUCUCAGGUACCAUUGACAAUGAAUUAUACUGAAUUACUACUGACUUCAGAAACAACCAAACAAAUGCUGGCAAGGAGAAAGAUCUACAUACCGGAGUAGCUGAUCGAAAAAUAAAUUACAGCUCUUUUCAUACUAAUUGUCACUAACCAUAUGGAUAGUUUGUUAUUUUCUUAAGUGAAACCAUCCCAAGAACUAAUGCAUUUUUCACGAUAGAAUUACAUUCUAGUAAUAUUUCUGUACGGGGUAGGGAAAGAUGUAAGAGAGUAUAUAUAUAUAUUGCACUCAAAUUUGUGUGUGUGAAAUUUACACGUACUUGUGACGAAAGCCACUUCGCCACCGGCCUUUGGAGAGAACUACUUGCCAGCCUCUUAUCCUGUGACUAUGGCCCCUUUAAUUUAUUUUGGCUGAGAGACCCUAAUUGUGCCUAUUGGGACUUUAAACAUUGGUACUUCGAACUCCCAAACAGUCGAAGUGGCUGCCAUUCGAACACGUGGUGGCAGCCAUCUUGUUGUUAUGGGCCGUAGUGUGCCAAUUCUAUUUUUUUUUUUUAAAUUGAAGUGUAUAUGUUGCCGUAUUCUGCUUGUGUUAUUUAUACUGUAAUCGCUUUGUAUCAUUGUAUUUGUGUGUAUAUGAGCUAUUAUAUUGUAUUUGUUCAUUAGUAGUUUAUGGUAUUGUGUAUGAUACAUAUUAAUGUGGGCUGUGUAUGGGGGCUGCUUGUGGAAUUGUGUGUGUUUGGUAGUGUGUGUGGGCUGUUUGGGUUAUUGCAUGUGAGAGGCUGCAUGUGGGGUUGUGUGCAUGUAUGUGGAUUGUUAGCGGCUUAUGUUUGUGCGGAUUGUGUGUAUGUUUGUGUGUGGGCUGUUCGUAUUAUUUGUAUGAGGGGAGGGUUAUUCUGCAUUUCUGUGUAUAUCUAGCAGUGUGGGUGGCUUCCCUGGGUUCCAGUGGGGACCAGGCUGGCAAGGUACAGGUCAAGGACAGGAGCAGUAACAGCAGCUGCAGGCUGCUCUACUACAGUGUGGUUUCCCAUUCACAAGUGCUGGGAGGAAGUGAUCUGAGAUAUUCCUCUAUGUGCUGCAAUGCAUAAAUUGAGGAUUGUCCUUCACCACCUUUUCGUAUUAGCAGAUAUCUGAUGUUUUACUGGGACUUCUGAUAGGUCAGAGCCUGUUUGGCUCUGGCAGCCUUGAGUGCCAUGCAAAGCCACCUUGAGUGCCGUGCAUGGCACUAGUGCCGUAGGUUGCCUACCCCUGUCCUAGACAAUCAACAGAUAAGUAAUUCAGGCAAUGAAUGACAUGAAUGAUUUGCACAUGAUACACAUAAAAAAACCCUUUAGAAUGCAUGUAAUCUUUUCUGUUGUGUGCACGUAUAAAAGAAACCACUGAAAUGUGUGAGAUGGUAAGACAUGCAAAGGAAAAAGAAUUGUGGUUUACCUGCAAGAACAGAACAGGAAACAUGAUUCAGUUUGUAACACGGAACAGAAGUAUAACGCAGAGUUUGAAAGUGUGCACAGGCUUACUAGUAAGAACUUUUUAAAUUACUUUUUGUUCAAAUAAAAGUUUCAUUUUAUCCUAUAUUUGGUCACUGAAAUCAACUACUUAGAGGAAUUUCAUCACCUGUGGGGGACCUGAAUCUGCCCGUGUGCCUGCAUAUAAUUGUUGAAACCGCUAUCACAGUUCAGAGCAGACUCAUUUGGGCUCUGAAAAUUGUGAGUGGUCCAAUUAUCUUCUUAACUUUAGUUUUAUAUAUACAUACUUUCCUAUGAAUAUAUUUUUUAUAUUCACAGUAUCUAGGCAUCUUGUACCAAGUACCAGGAAAGUUAUCAAACAUUGGGUGCGCAACCACAGUAUUCUUGUUCCAAUUGUAUAUACAGAUAAACACUCUUAAAUGUAUA
rnacentral:lncRNA from 1 species